AUCCUUCUCAGCACCUUCUCCCUCUUCUGAAGUUGCUCUUUUCCUUCCUGGUUCAGCCUUCAGGUGCAAACUGUCUCUCACGGAUCCUGUGCACCCAGCACCCAGCACAGUGCCAGACCUACAGUCAUUCCUAAGCGUCGGGUGGAGUGGAACACUGCAGACCGCCACUUCAAGCAUCUCCUCGUCUUCGGGGGGAAAUACUUCCAAGGGAGGUGACUGGAUAUUCCGCUGGAAACAUUAAGAAAACAAAGACCCGAACUCUCCUUCGUCCCCUCUCAAGACAGAAAGUCGUGGAUCUGCCUGACAGAUUGUCUCAUCUUUUCACACAAUGGGAGAAACAGGAUCGAGAAAAAAACCUCCAGUCCUGGCAAGAGCGGACAGCCGAGACGCAAGUGUUGAGCACGAAGGGGGAGGCAGCGUGGAUCCUGGCAGCUUCUCGUGUUCCAUGAGAAACACCUGCUCUGCUGGCCGCGGGGAAGGAGGGCUCAGAAUAGCACAGGCGCACCCACUCUCGGAAACACAGGAACUCCCCUGUCCUGUAGGCAAGGGGAAGGGGGUGUCAGGAGGAGGUCCAGGGAAGCUGCCUUGGAACAUGUACCCAACACCAUGAAAAGGACUUGAAUUUCCCCUGCCAUGGGAAGAGGAUGAAAUUCCCCACCUGUCAUUCCCAGAAGCCGCCAGACGUGCUCAGGGCUCAUGAGCACAACGUCUUCUAGGUCGGUGAAAAGGAUACAUUUAAAAGGGCAGGUGGAGAAAAUGGCACCUUUCCAUGGCUGGAAGAUCACUAGCUCAUUCUGAUGACAGCGUUCUCAACCUUGGCACAACUGACAUUUUGGACAAGAUGAGGGGACUGUCCUGCGUAUUGUAGGAUGUUUAGUACCAUCGCUGGCCUCUACCUCCUAGAUGCUGGUAGGACCCCCUCCUUAAGCUGUGACAAUCAAAACGACAGACUGUUGCCUAAUGUCCCCUGAUGGGAAAAAAAUCACCCUGAUUCAAAAUCACUGGUCUAAAGGGAAACCCAGACGUCACCAGAAAAUCUCAAAAGCAUUUUCCAUCUGGUCAUUUACCUCUUGUAAGCAUUGGGUCACCUGAAAUGUUUGGUAGGGAGAAGACAGACUAGGUAUGAAGACCUAGGAGUUCCUGAAGAAACAUGUAAGAACGUCGGCUUUUCAUCUUACAAAACGAACUUCGUUAACCUUCGGCUGAGACAGGACAUUAGUCAGGUCACAAAGUCAAAGGAGAAAAGAAGAGGUUGUGUUCCCCUGAAGUCUGUUACAGGAGGAUAUUCAAACCUUCAUUUUGGGGUUAUCCAUCUACACAUCUUCUCUGGAUCUCCAAACCCAUUUGGUUCUGUGCAAGUGUUCUCUUAACUGUUCCUAGGGGGGAAAUACUUGCUCUCUUUGAGGAUUAAAAGCUAAUACUUGCUGUA